rnacentral:rRNA from 1 species
GAUGAACGCUGGCGGCGUGCCUAAUACAUGCAAGUCGAGCGAACAGACGAUGAGCUUGCUCCUCUGACGUUAGCGGCGGACGGGUGAGUAACACGUGGAUAACCUACCUAUAAUACGGGUAUAACUUCGGGAAACGGGAUCUAAUACCGUAUAACAUGUUGAACCGCAUGGGGCAACAGUGAAAUACGGUCUUGCGGGCACGUAUAGAUGGAUCCGCGCCGCAUUGGCUAGUUGGUAAGGUAACGGCUUACCAAGGCGACGAUGCGUAGCCGACGUGAGAGGGUGAUAGGCGACACUGGAACUGAGACACGGUCAAUGCUACUAAGGGACGCCGCAGUAGGCAAUCUUAGGCAAUGGGCGAAAGCAUUACGGAGUAAGGGGAAGCGAGUGAAGACGGCGUCCGGAUCGUAAAAAUCUGUUACUAGGGAAGAACCAAUGUGUCAGUAAACAUGCCCGUCUUGACGGUAACUAAUAAGAAAGCACCGGCUAACUACGUG